GCGAUGAACCGCGCAGCCGCCUGGCGGCCCGGUGUUACGUUUGUAACCAGGGUUGCCGGGAGGAAAGUCCGGGCUCCGCAGGGCAUGAUGCCGGGUAACGCCCGGGCCGGCAGGGUCAAAGCCCUGCCGGACAGAAAGCGCAGCAGACAAUAUACCGCCUGAACGCGGCAGCGCGGCGCGGGGGGCCGGUAAUGGCCUUCCGCCGGGCAAGGGUGAAAUGGCGGGGUAAGAGCCCACCGGGGCGCCGGUAACGGCGCCGUCUGGCAAGCCUCAUCAGGAGCAAGGCCAAGCAGCGGGUUUGCGGCUUUAUGGCCGCAGCCAAUGCCCAUUGGUUACCCGCGGGUAGGCCGCAUGACGCUGUCCGUAAGGGCGGCGCCAGAUAGAUGGCUGCGGCCGCGCUUCCUCCGAGGCGCGGAACAGAACCCGGCUUACAGGUUCAUCGCUUUU
rnacentral:RNase_P_RNA from 1 species